GUGAGAGAGAAGCAACAAAGUGAUCGGUGGCCUUUCCUUGAAGAAAUCGAUUUAUUUGAAUUAUUUUGAAGUUAUGGUGGACUCUGGAGCUGGACUGGCAAACAGAAAAAGGACAGAAGAGAUGAAGAAAGCAAACCGGAGAGUAACAGAUCCCGGUCUGAAACACCUCAGGAUAGCUUCUCAGAGAUGGAGAGAACUAAAGGAGUUAAAAUGACUGAAAACAGAUGCUAGGUGGACUCUCUUCCUUGAGACAGAUAAUGUGGCAUCGUGUCCCCCCCAUGUCAGAGACCAGCUCAGCUGCUCUUUUGGAAGCUGUGAUUGCGGGUCACUUGAUGAGAGCAGCAGAGAUUUUGUGUGAGGCUCUCCAUCACAUCAGGCUCGUGCAUCCAUCGUCCCUGAUAAACGCUGGCUGAAGGAUGUGAAGAAGCUUACCAACUUUCACACAACAUCAGACCUGGAAUCCUUUCAGAACCACAUCCUCUUGUAUGCUGCAAAACGCUUUUCAUUCAGCUCACCAGUGUAUGAGGCGCACACUCCUCUGGCACCACACCCACAGGCCUGCAGCCCUGACUCUGAUGGUAACAAUAAAGAAAUCCUUGGAAGAUGGUUGAAAUCUGGGAAGAGACUUCCCAAAACAAGAACACUAAGACCUGAUGACCAAAGGAGACUUGGACAUCUUCCUGGGAUUCCUCCACCACCUACAACAGAACUAGCACAAGCAUGCAUCCAACGCAGAGAAGUUUGUACACAUGCAGGCAGUGGUGUAAAGGAACAAAGUAAAAGUACUUUGUUACAGUACUUAAGUAGGUUUUAGGAGUAUCUAUAAUUUACUUUAGUUUCAAUAUUUUUUGCAGCUUUCACUUUUACUCUGCUACAUUUAUAUUGUCACCGUCGUUACACGCUACAAAAUAAAAUGUGAAUAUAA